AUUGAACGCUGGCGGCAGGCCUAACACAUGCAAGUCGAACGGUAACAGGAAGAAGCUUGCUUCUUUGCUGACGAGUGGCGGACGGGUGAGUAAUGUCUGGGAAACUGCCUGAUGGAGGGGGAUAACUACUGGAAACGGUAGCUAAUACCGCAUAACGUCGCAAGACCAAAGAGGGGGACCUUCGGGCCUCUUGCCAUCGGAUGUGCCCAGAUGGGAUUAGCUAGUUGGUGGGGUAACGGCUCACCAAGGCGACGAUCCCUAGCUGGUCCGAGAGGAAGACCAGCCCAACUGGAACUGAGACACGGUCCAGACUCCUACGGGAGGCAGCAGUGGGGAAUAUUGCACAAUGGGCGCAAGCCUGAUGCAGCCAUGCCGCGUGUAUGAAGAAGGCCUUCGGGUUGUAAAGUACUUUCAGCGGGGAGGAAGGGAGUAAAGUUAAUACCUUUGCUCAUUGACGUUACCCGCAGAAGAAGCACCGGCUAACUCCGUGCCAGCCGCCGCGGUAA
rnacentral:rRNA from 1 species